UACGUAGGGGGCUAGCGUUGUCCGGAAUCAUUGGGCGUAAAGGGCGCGUAGGCGGUGUGUCAAGUCAGGCGUGAAAGCCCCGGGCUCAACCUGGGAACAGCGCUUGAGACUGGCACGCUCGAGUUCGGGAGAGGAUGGUGGAAUUCCCAGUGUAGAGGUGAAAUUCGUAGAUAUUGGGAAGAACACCGAUGGCGAAGGCAGCCAUCUGGACCGACACUGACGCUGAGGCGCGAAAGCGUGGGGAGCAAACAGG
rnacentral:rRNA from 1 species